GAUGACUUUGAUUUCUUGAGAAUCUAUUGAAGGUACCAUCAAAUUUUGAUAUCUUCUCUACUAUUGAAGCCAAUAAGCUAUUGCAAGUUGUUAAUUCGAGGGUCUCAAUGAAGGAGGAUGAGCUAAUUGCAAUGACGUUUAAGGAGUUAUUGGAAGCCCAAUUGUUUGCAGGAUUUGUGUAAGGAAAGCACAAAAUAUUUUAGAAAGUUAAUAAGGGAAACGCUAAGGAAAUAACUAGGCCAACAAUUUCAACCACAAAUGACCAGCCAUCAACUUUUUUGCAA